UGGCUCAGAGGUUAAAGCAUCUGCCUGCAAUGCAGGAGACUUGGGUUCAAUCCCUG
rnacentral:tRNA from 1 species